UACGUAGGGGGCAAGCGUUGUCCGGAUUUAUUGGGCGUAAAGAGCUCGUAGGCGGUUGGGCAAGUCACGUGUGAAAUCUCCACGCUCAACGUGGAGGCGCCGCGUGAGACUGCCCUGACUCGAGUCCGGUAGGGGAGCGUGGAAUUCCCGGUGUAGCGGUGAAAUGCGCAGAGAUCGGGAGGAACACCCGUAGCGAAGGCGGCGCUCUGGGCCGGUACUGACGCUGAGGAGCGAAAGCGUGGGGAGCAAACAGG
rnacentral:rRNA from 1 species